UACCCGCAGCACAAAUGGUGGUCAUUAUUAUUGGGCCUAAAGCGUCCGUAGCUGGCUUGUUAGAUGCCUGGGUAAAUCGAUGCGCUCAACGCAUCGAAUUCCGGGUAGACCGGCAAGCUCGAGACCGGGAGAGGUGUAGGCUACUCGCGGGGUAGGGGUAAAAUCCUGUAAUCCUUGGGGGACCACCAGUGGCGAAGGCGUCGCACUAGAACACGUCCGACGAUCAGGGACGAAGCCCUGGGGCGCAAACGGG
rnacentral:rRNA from 1 species